GACGAACGCUGGCGGCGUGCCUAAUACAUGCAAGUUGAGCGAUGAAGAUUGGUGCUUGCACCCAUUUGAAGAGCAGCGAACGGGUGAGUAACGCGUGGGGAAUCUGCCUUUGAGCGGGGGACAACAUUUGGAAACGAAUGCUAAUACCGCAUAACAACUUUAAACAUAAGUUUUAAGUUUGAAAGAUGCAAUUGCAUCACUCAAAGAUGAUCCCGCGUUGUAUUAGCUAGUUGGUGAGGUAAAGGCUCACCAAGGCGAUGAUACAUAGCCGACCUGGGAGGGUGAUCGGCCACAUUGGGACUGAGACACGGCCCAAACUCCUACGGGAGGCAGCAGUAGGGAAUCUUCGGCAAUGGACGAAAGUCUGACCGAGCAACGCCGCGUGAGUGAAGAAGGUUUUCGGAUCGUAAAACUCUGUUGGUAGAGAAGAACGUUGGUGAGAGUGGAAAGCUCAUCAAGUGACGGUAACUACCCAGAAAGGGACGGCUAACUACGUG
rnacentral:rRNA from 1 species